AGCGCGGCGAGGCGGCCGCGGAUCUUGGUCUUUGCCAACUUCCGAGGAAAGUCCGAGCACGACAGGACACGGUGGUGGGUAACACCCACCCGUCCGGCACGCGCCCUUCGCGGGGCUCGAGCCCGGGCGAGGGACAGUGCCACAGAAAACACACCGCCGAUGGCCGGGCAACCGGCUCAGGCAAGGGUGAAAAGGCGGGGUAAGAGCCCACCGCUCCGGCGGCGACGUCGGGGGCACGGCAAACCCCACCGCGUGCAAGGUCAAGCAGCGUUCGGGCGCGCGAUCGCAAGGUCGCACGCCGCACUCGGUCCGGGUGUAUCGAACGCGGGUAGACCGCUUCAGGCCCGCGGCAACGCGGGUCGCAGAGAAAUGGUCGCCACCGCUCUGGCUUGUUACGGGCUUGCCCGGAGCGAGCGAGGGCGGGACAGAACUCGGCUUAACGCCGCGCGAGUU
rnacentral:RNase_P_RNA from 1 species